rnacentral:rRNA from 1 species
AUUGAACGCUGGCGGCAGGCCUAACACAUGCAAGUCGAGCGGAUGAACGGAGCUUGCUCCUGGAUUCAGCGGCGGACGGGCGAGUAAUGCCUAGGAAGCUGCCUGGCAGUGGGGGAUAACGUCCGGAAACGGGCGCUAAUACCGCAUACGUCCAGAGGGAGAAAGUGGGGGAUCUUUGGACCUCACGCUAUUAGAUGAGCCUAGGUCGGAUUAGCUAGUUGGUGGGGUAAAGGCGUACCAAGGCGACGAUCCGUAACUGGUCUGAGAGGAUGAUCAGUCACACUGGAACUGAGACACGGUCCAGACUCCUACGGGAGGCAGCAGUGGGGAAUAUUGGACAAUGGGCGAAAGCCUGAUCCAGCCAUGCCGCGUGUGUGAAGAAGGUCUUCGGAUUGUAAAGCACUUUUAUUUGGGAAGAAGAGCAGUAAGUUAAUACCUUGCUGUUUUGACGUUACCAACAGAAUAAGCACCGGCUAACUUCGUG